rnacentral:lncRNA from 1 species
AUAAAUUUCUAUCAAAACUAAGGCUCAAAGAACUUUUUAUAUUAUUUAUAUUAGCAAUAACAACGUACACACAUGUUGGCGUAUGAAUACACAACGGUCAAUGUGGGCGUGUCGCCAUCAAAAUUGACAACAUUGAAAAUAAAACUAAUAAUUUUAACCAAUCAGAAGACAGUAAAAACACAAAAUUUAUUUAUUCUUAAAUAA